GGGAGUGUAGCUCAGUGGUAGAGCAUUCGACUGCAGAUCGAUAGGUCAGUGGUUCAACUUCGCUCGCUCCCU
rnacentral:tRNA from 1 species